GAUGUAGAACGUAGUGAAAUGCGAUAAGUAAUGUGAAUUGCAGAAUUCAGUGAAUCAUCGAAUCUUUGAACGCACAUUGCGCCCCUUGGUAUUCCGAGGGGCAUGCCUGUUCGAGCGUCAUUAUAACCCCUCAAGCUCAGCUUGGUGUUGGGGCCUGCUGCACUGGCAGCCCUUAAAAUCAGUGGCGGCGCCAUCUGGCUCUAAGCGUAGUAAUUCUUCUCGCUAUGGAGUCCUGGUGGAUGCUUGCCAUCAACCCCCAAUUUUUCUAUGGUUGACCUCGGAUCAGGUAGGGAUACCCGCUGAACUUAAGCAUAUCAAUAAGCGGAGGA
rnacentral:misc_RNA from 1 species